rnacentral:rRNA from 1 species
UGUGCACGCCCCUCGUCAUUCCAAUCAAUACCUGUGCACUAUUUGUAGGCUUGGUUCUAAAGGCAAUAGGGAGGGGUGUGUUCGCUCUCUUUGUUAGAGGGGCCAGGUCCUAUGUUCUCACCACAAACUCGUACAAAGUUAUAGAAUGUGACAUAUUGCGCACAUAACGCAACAAAUACAACUUUCAGCAACGGAUCUCUUGGCUCUCGCAUCGAUGAAGGACGCAGCGAAAUGCGAUAAGUAAUGUGAAUUGCAGAAUUCAGUGAAUCAUCGAAUCUUUGAACGCACCUUGCGCUCCUUGGUAUUCCGAGGAGCAUGCCUGUUUGAGUGUCAUGGAAUUCUCAACUCUGUUCACUUUGUGGUGAAUGGGGCUUGGAUUUGGAGGCUUGCUGGCUUUUUGAUGAGUUGGCUCCUCUUGAAUGCAUUAGCUGGAUUCCUGUGCGAGGUUUAAGCUUGCUCGGUGUGAUAAAUUGUCUACGCCGUUCGAGUCUUGCCAUGGGGGUGUUCGCUUCCAAUCGUCCUAUGAAAAGGGACUAUACAUUUGACCUUUGACCUCAAAUCAGGUAGGACUACCCGCUGAACUUAAGCAUAUCAAUAAGCGGAGGAAAAGAAACUAACAAGGAUUCCCCUAGUAACUGCGAGUGAAGCGGGAAAAGCUCAAAUUUAA